rnacentral:rRNA from 1 species
GACGAACGCUGGCGGCGUGCUUAACACAUGCAAGUCGAACGGAAAGGCCCUGCUUUUGUGGUGUGCUCGAUUGGCGAACGGGUGAGUAACACGUGAGUAACCUGCCCUUGACUUUGGGAUAACUUCAGGAAACUGGGGCUAAUACCGGAUAGGAGCUCCUGCUGCAUGGUGGGGGUUGGAAAGUUUCGGCGGUUGGGGAUGGACUCGCGGCUUAUCAGCUUGUUGGUGGGGUAGUGGCUUACCAAGGCUUUGACGGGUAGCCGGCCUGAGAGGGUGACCGGCCACAUUGGGACUGAGAGACGGCCCAGACUCCUACGGGAGGCAGCAGUGGGGAAUAUUGCACAAUGGGCGGAAGCCUGAUGCAGCAACGCCGCGUGCGGGAUGACGGCCUUCGGGUUGUAAACCGCUUUCGCCGGUGACGAAGCGUGAGUGACGGUAAUGGGUAAAGAAGCACCGGCUAACUACGUG